GAUGAACGCUAGCUACAGGCUUAACACAUGCAAGUCGAGGGGCAUCAGUUUGGUUUGCUUGCAAACCAAAGCUGGCGACCGGCGCACGGGUGAGUAACACGUAUCCAACCUGCCUCAUACUCGGGGGAUAGCCUUUCGAAAGAAAGAUUAAUAUCCGAUAGCAUAUAUUUCCCGCAUGGGUUUUAUAUUAAAGAAAUUCGGUAUGAGAUGGGGAUGCGUUCCAUUAGUUGUUGGUCGGGGUAACGGGUACCCGACCCAACG
rnacentral:rRNA from 1 species